UGAGGAAUAUUGGUCAAUGGGCGAGAGCCUGAACCAGCCAAGUAGCGUGCAGGAUGACGGCCCUAUGGGUUGUAAACUGCUUUUAUGCGGGGAUAAAGUGUGCCAUGUAUGGUGUUUUGCAGGUACCGCAUGAAUAAGGACCGGCUAAUUCCGUGCCAGCAGCCGCGGUAAUACGGAAGGUCCGGGCGUUAUCCGGAUUUAUUGGGUUUAAAGGGAGCGCAGGCCGCUGGGCAAGCGUGUUGUGAAAUGCAGUCGCUCAACGUCUGCACUGCAGCGCGAACUGCCCAGCUUGAGUGCGCGCAACGUUGGCGGAAUUCGCCGUGUAGCGGUGAAAUGCUUAGAUAUGGCGAAGA
rnacentral:rRNA from 1 species